GUAUAAGAGACAGCAGCAGCCACGGUAAUACAGAGGGUGCGAGCGUUAAUCGGAUUUACUGGGCGUAAAGCGUGCGUAGGCGGCUUUUUAAGUCGGAUGUGAAAUCCCUGAGCUUAACUUAGGAAUUGCAUUCGAUACUGGGAAGCUAGAGUAUGGGAGAGGAUGGUAGAAUUCCAGGUGUAGCGGUGAAAUGCGUAGAGAUCUGGAGGAAUACCGAUGGCGAAGGCAGCCAUCUGGCCUAAUACUGACGCUGAGGUACGAAAGCAUGGGGAGCAAACAGGAUUAGAUACCCGCGUAGUCCCUGUCUCUUAUAA
rnacentral:rRNA from 1 species